UCGCGCUAAGCGGGGAGCUGGCGGUUCCCUGUACCUGCAAUCCGCCAUAGCAGGGCUGAAUUCUGGCUCGAGGCGGGUAGGCGGGCGCGACAGGGCGCGUGCCCCGUGUUGAACAUCGGGACUUGCGCAACGGGUGAGCGAUGAACCCCGCCAGGUCCGGAAGGAAGCAACGGUAAGUCGUUUCCUCGUGUGCCGCAAGCACCCCGAUAGGAGCGGGCAGCCUCGCUCUGCACGCCCCAACCACCGUCGACAGCCAGUGCGCGA
rnacentral:SRP_RNA from 1 species